UACAGAUUGCUUGUGAAAUUUACUUACAUGUUCUCAAACGAUCUACUGAUAAAACAGAUAAUACCAGAACAUUAGAAAGCGUGGAUUGGGAAAGAAACACCCAAUGGCUUGACAGCCUAGUAGAUAUUGAAGAAAAACUGAAGGAUCUACAAAGAAAUACGAAAGAGGCAGCAGAAGAGAGAGAAACUGAAAUCAGAAACAUCAACAGAGAUCUUAAAAAUGUUGUUUUUGGCCUUAAAGAUGUCUGUAGAGAUUUAAGGAAAGAAAUAUUCUUUCUCUUGACACAAAAGAAAGAUAUUCCAAAGAAGUACCAAGG